AAGAUCAUACUUCACAGGAUCAUUUCUGUAGUAUAUCUUCACAGACUCUCUACCCAAAGUAGGAGUCGAUGCAACCACGAUGAGGAGGUGUAGCCCUCCUUCCUGAGCGUGAGGACGACUCGGACUCCCGACUUGCUCGGGAAUCCAGUCAUCGAUGAUCGUUCACCUUUUCUACUCCGUAGAGAAGGCCUGGAAGGAAGGGCAAGCUGAGUGGC
rnacentral:snoRNA from 1 species